CUCGUAGGUGGUUUGUCGCGUCGUCUGUGAAAUUCUGGGGCUUAACUCCGGGCGUGCAGGCGAUACGGGCAUAACUUGAGUACUGUAGGGGUAACUGGAAUUCCUGGUGUAGCGGUGAAAUGCGCAGAUAUCAGGAGGAACACCGAUGGCGAAGGCAGGUUACUGGGCAGUUACUGACGCUGAGGAGCGAAAGCAUGGGUAGCGAACA
rnacentral:rRNA from 1 species